AACAUAGCUAUACGGCUAAAAUGCUACAGCAGCAUCGCUUAGAAGAAUAAAGAAAAAGAAGAACGCAUUUUGAAACCAAAAGAGAUGAAGGGUUACCUGCUUCGGGGCAGCAAAACAGGACUCCCAAGCUAAUAUUAGACUCCAACACCACCGAAAAUCGGACCCUCUAGAAUGAUGAGUAAUUGACAACUCGAAAUAAACUUAUUGGAAAAUCAAAGUUUUACUGCGUUUUCUUCUUCCCCUCCCAGACCCUAAAGAAACAUGUUUCCAACCUAGAUUUAAACAGUAACCCCUUUCCCAAAGAAAGAUCUCCCCAAGCUUCUAACUCCAGAAACUUUUAUUCAAAUUUUCGAACCGUCGCCUCUUCGAGAAAAGAACCCCCAGAAAACCUCUCCAAAUCCCUUACUUUGAAUCAAAAUCGACCCAAACCCUAAAUUUCUCCACUCUUAGAACCUUAGAGCUCCCAGAAAAAUCCUCCUCUUCAGACCCUAAAGAGAGCUAUUUAUAGAAGGGGGGGUUGAGGGUUCGUUUUGAAUCCUCACAAAUCGCACCCCUAUUGUUCUUCUUGAACGGAUUUUCAACAGAUGGCCAACAACCAUUGGGGCAAAAUGAACGAAUGAAAAUUUGCCGAACAGGUAUGAAUCCGAAAAUCACGGAAUUCGGACGUUGGGGGUAACACCUCACUCUCUUUCUAGAAGAUUUCGUACCAAAAUCAUGUGGGAAAGCACGCGACUGUGAAGAGGAAGCAGAAAACGGGUUGAGAUAAGGGGAAUCGGGGGGGAAAUAGGUUGGGGUUUUGCAUGGUUGUUUUCGCAUUGCUGUUGGUGUAGCUUGUACGCGGUUUUUGUCGUGGCUGUUGUUUGUUUUUGGUGAGCUAUAAGCAGCUUUUGCUUAUUGAAGAAGAAAGGAUUAAAUGGUGUGGGCCGGGUAGGUUUUGUAGAUGUUUGUGCUGUUGAAAUUCGGGGCUAAUUUGGCAAAGUCAAAAGGAAAUUGGGCUUGGGCUUGUUAAUUUGAAGAGUGGCUUGGCAAUUUAAAAACUGAAAUUGAGGUUAUUAUAACACACCAAUUUGGCCUGAAAAUGCCCCGUUUAUGCCGUUUUACCCAUUUGACUACCCAAAAUAUCCUUGAAUAAAUAAAAAAAACCACACUGCGACGAUCCCCAACCUCUCUGGCAUACCCCGGUUGAUUUUUGGCCCACGUCACCCCCAAACCCUAGGCUACCCCCGAAGUCGUAGGCUUUAGCUUGAAUACACCCGUUUGCAUCGUUUGACCACCCAAAUGGCCUCGAAUAAAUAAACGAACCCUGGCAUCCUCAGUCAAUUCUUCACCCACGACACCUAUUUUGCGGAGAAAUUUUGACUUUUUGAGAAGAGUUACCACUUAAUUUUAAAAAAAAAUUAAGAAACCUGUAAAGAGUUACUUCAAACGAUCUAAAACCAAAAAAUCAUUUAAGUUAAGAGAUUCUGAAUAAGCGGUUCUUAUUAACGUUUUAGGAAGGUGUUAGGCACCUAAAAUGUCUUCGAUUAACUUCUGAAAUUUGAUUCAUUGAAAAAUGGUUGGUUUGCAAAAAAUUAAGUUUUAGCAAAUUCAUUAGGGGAUUUAACUAGGUUCGUAAAAGGCAUGCAAAACAAAUAAUCAAAAAGAAAGGGGAAGAGAGGAGAAGUAAUGAUUUAGGAUUUGAAGCCCAAACUAUUAAGCCUGUCCUAAUCUAGUUGGGUUUUCAACCUAUUUUUCCUCUCACCUGUCCUAUUUCUAUGUUUUCUGGCCCUUUGGCUCGAGUUUUCACUUUACCUGUAUUAAAUACAACUUUGGCUUCGAGGCCCAAAUGAAUGAAAAAUGAAUAAACAAAAUAAAAUAAAUAAUAAAUAAUAAAAAAACAACAACACUAAUUAAACAAAAUGAAAUAAUAAAUGAGACUUUUGUCACUUAGCCGCUUCAAAUACGGGACUUUAACCCGUUCCUUUUCUUUCGACUCUUUGUAUUUGCGCGCUAUUUAUCCGGCUUUGGGCUCUUUUUCUGGAUUGACCCAACAAGAUGGGCCUCACUGGCCCAUGAUGAAUGUGCAAGAGGGAGAGAGUUCAUGUAGGACUCAGUCGAAAGUAGGAGAGAUUAAUGUGCAGGCCCGAAGCGCAGUACACCAUACAGAUAUCCAACACAACAAAUCAAUAACAAAAGACAUGGAAUUAUUGUAAUUUUAAACAACAUAGCAAAUAGUAUGCAAAAGUAUAGAAAGUAAAAGAAACGCAAUUAUGGCUAGCACCAAUAUAUAAAUGAAACAUUUAAGACUACAUUUGUAAGAAUACUCAUAAACAGGAAUAAGCAAAUAAGGAGACGUACAAUAGAAUUGGGAAUUUAAAAUAAAUCUCUUAAGCGACCUAUUCAUAACACUAGUUGGGGAAAGAGCCAUUCUUUUCAGAGAGAUAAACCAGAGCCCCUCCCUGUACAAUUUCUUCAAAAAGGAUACAACUCCUAAACAUACCAUACCAAAAAUCGGAUAGCUUGGAACAGCGAACAACGAAAUACAAUAAUGACUUACUUAAGAAAGAGUGAAUGAAACUUGACAUAAGAGUUGUUCAAACAAGCCAAGACUCAAUAAGUUUGGAAGUUGAAGAAUAAGCAUAUUUGCACUACAGUGAGCAAGUAAGUAGCAGACCCCUGAGCAGCUAAGAAGGUCUUAAUAAUUAUCAAUCGAAUCGAAACAUGAAACUUUAAUCACAAAAGUCAGGUAAAAAAAAAUAAUUCCAACAGCCUGAAACUUUAAACACGAAACCAACUUCAGUAGGAUACUAGCGAUCCGAAACAGAUCGAAGAACCUAAGACCUUAGCUAACAAACCCGCGUUAACAAGAUACCAGUUAUUCCAAACAACAAUCAGAAGCACGAACUUCACAAAAAUGUAUGGUCUUUAAGACCUCAACAACCAACAACGCCAGCAACCACGAUUAUACACAACAUAGCUAUACGGCUAAAAUGCUACAGCAGCAUCGCUUAGAAGAAUAAAGAAAAAGAAGAACGCAUUUUGAAACCAAAAGAGAUGAAGGGUUACCUGCUUCGGGGCAGCAAAACAGGACUCCCAAGCUAAUAUUAGACUCCAACACCACCGAAAAUCGGACCCUCUAGAAUGAUGAGUAAUUGACAACUCGAAAUAAACUUAUUGGAAAAUCAAAGUUUUACUGCGUUUUCUUCUUCCCCUCCCAGACCCUAAAGAAACAUGUUUCCAACCUAGAUUUAAACAGUAACCCCUUUCCCAAAGAAAGAUCUCCCCAAGCUUCUAACUCCAGAAACUUUUAUUCAAAUUUUCGAACCGUCGCCUCUUCGAGAAAAGAACCCCCAGAAAACCUCUCCAAAUCCCUUACUUUGAAUCAAAAUCGACCCAAACCCUAAAUUUCUCCACUCUUAGAACCUUAGAGCUCCCAGAAAAAUCCUCCUCUUCAGACCCUAAAGAGAGCUAUUUAUAGAAGGGGGGGUUGAGGGUUCGUUUUGAAUCCUCACAAAUCGCACCCCUAUUGUUCUUCUUGAACGGAUUUUCAACAGAUGGCCAACAACCAUUGGGGCAAAAUGAACGAAUGAAAAUUUGCCGAACAGGUAUGAAUCCGAAAAUCACGGAAUUCGGACGUUGGGGGUAACACCUCACUCUCUUUCUAGAAGAUUUCGUACCAAAAUCAUGUGGGAAAGCACGCGACUGUGAAGAGGAAGCAGAAAACGGGUUGAGAUAAGGGGAAUCGGGGGGGAAAUAGGUUGGGGUUUUGCAUGGUUGUUUUCGCAUUGCUGUUGGUGUAGCUUGUACGCGGUUUUUGUCGUGGCUGUUGUUUGUUUUUGGUGAGCUAUAAGCAGCUUUUGCUUAUUGAAGAAGAAAGGAUUAAAUGGUGUGGGCCGGGUAGGUUUUGUAGAUGUUUGUGCUGUUGAAAUUCGGG
rnacentral:lncRNA from 1 species